rnacentral:lncRNA from 1 species
AGAAGUGCUAGCUCAUGCGAAGAUCUUUUUCUUAGCUGAUCUGGAUCUUUUCUUUAAAUCUUUGAAAUCUUUUCAGAGAUUGAAGAUGGACUUCUAGAGGAGAUAAAGAGGUAAAAGAAAGAUGGAGAAGAAAAUAAUUUUUUUCUUAUUUUUUCUCUUUUCCCAAACCCAUAGGACCAAAACCCUAGAAACUAAAUUUUUGCACACACCCAA